UUAAGUUAGAAAGGGCGCACGGUGGAUGCCUUGACACUAGGAGUCGAUGAAGGACGGGACUAACGCCGAUAUGCUUCGGGGAGCUGUAAGUAAGCUUUGAUCCGAAGAUUUCCGAAUGGGGAAACCCACCAUACGUAAUGGUAUGGUAUCCUUAUCUGAAUACAUAGGGUAAGGAAGACAGACCCAGGGAACUGAAACAUCUAAGUACCUGGAGGAAGAGAAAGCAAAUGCGAUUUCCUGAGUAGCGGCGAGCGAAACGGAACAUAGCCCAAACCAAGAGGCUUGCCUCUUGGGGUUGUAGGACAUUCUAUACGGAGUUACAAAGGAACGAGGUAGACGAAGCGACCUGGAAAGGUCCGUCGUAGAGGGUAACAACCCCGUAGUCGAAACUUCGUUCUCUCUUGAAUGUAUCCUGAGUACGGCGGAACACGUGAAAUUCCGUCGGAAUCUGGGAGGACCAUCUCCCAAGGCUAAAUACUCCCUAGUGAUCGAUAGUGAACCAGUACCGUGAGGGAAAGGUGAAAAGCACCCCGGAAGGGGAGUGAAAGAGAUCCUGAAACCGUGUGCCUACAAAUAGUCAGAGCCCGUUAACGGGUGAUGGCGUGCCUUUUGUAGAAUGAACCGGCGAGUUACGAUCCCGUGCGAGGUUAAGCUGAAGAGGCGGAGCCGCAGCGAAAGCGAGUCUGAAUAGGGCGUUUAGUACGUGGUCGUAGACCCGAAACCAGGUGAUCUACCCAUGUCCAGGGUGAAGUUCAGGUAACACUGAAUGGAGGCCCGAACCCACGCACGUUGAAAAGUGCGGGGAUGAGGUGUGGGUAGCGGAGAAAUUCCAAUCGAACCUGGAGAUAGCUGGUUCUCCCCGAAAUAGCUUUAGGGCUAGCCUUAAGUGUAAGAGUCUUGGAGGUAGAGCACUGAUUGGACUAGGGGUCCUCAUCGGAUUACCGAAUUCAGUCAAACUCCGAAUGCCAAUGACUUAUCCUUAGGAGUCAGACUGCGAGUGAUAAGAUCCGUAGUCAAAAGGGAAACAGCCCAGACCGCCAGCUAAGGUCCCAAAGUGUGUAUUAAGUGGAAAAGGAUGUGGAGUUGCUUAGACAACUAGGAUGUUGGCUUAGAAGCAGCCACCAUUUAAAGAGUGCGUAAUAGCUCACUAGUCGAGUGACUCUGCGCCGAAAAUGUACCGGGGCUAAAUACACCACCGAAGCUGCGGAUUGAUACCGAAUGGUAUCAGUGGUAGGGGAGCGUUCUAAGGACAGUGAAGUCAGACCGUAAGGACUGGUGGAGUGCUUAGAAGUGAGAAUGCCGGUAUGAGUAGCGAAAGACGGGUGAGAAUCCCGUCCACCGAAUGCCUAAGGUUUCCUGAGGAAGGCUCGUCCGCUCAGGGUUAGUCAGGACCUAAGCCGAGGCCGACAGGCGUAGGCGAUGGACAACAGGUUGAUAUUCCUGUACCACCUCUUUAUCGUUUGAGCAAUGGAGGGACGCAGAAGGAUAGAAGAAGCGUGCGAUUGGUUGUGCACGUCCAAGCAGUUAGGCUGAUAAGUAGGCAAAUCCGCUUAUCAUGAAGGCUGAGCUGUGAUGGGGAAGCUCCUUAUGGAGCGAAGUCUUUGAUUCCCCGCUGCCAAGAAAAGCUUCUAGCGAGAUAAAAGGUGCCUGUACCGCAAACCGACACAGGUAGGCGAGGAGAGAAUCCUAAGGUGUGCGAGAGAACUCUGGUUAAGGAACUCGGCAAAAUGACCCCGUAACUUCGGGAGAAGGGGUGCUUUCUUAACGGAAAGCCGCAGUGAAUAGGCCCAAGCGACUGUUUAGCAAAAACACAGCUCUCUGCGAAGCCGUAAGGCGAAGUAUAGGGGGUGACACCUGCCCGGUGCUGGAAGGUUAAGGAGAGGGGUUAGCGUAAGCGAAGCUCUGAACUGAAGCCCCAGUAAACGGCGGCCGUAACUAUAACGGUCCUAAGGUAGCGAAAUUCCUUGUCGGGUAAGUUCCGACCCGCACGAAAGGUGUAACGAUUUGGGCACUGUCUCAACCAGAGACUCGGUGAAAUUAUAGUACCUGUGAAGAUGCAGGUUACCCGCGACAGGACGGAAAGACCCCGUGGAGCUUUACUGUAGCCUGAUAUUGAAUUUUGGUACAGUUUGUACAGGAUAGGCGGGAGCCAUUGAAACCGGAGCGCUAGCUUCGGUGGAGGCGCUGGUGGGAUACCGCCCUGACUGUAUUGAAAUUCUAACCUACGGGUCUUAUCGACCCGGGAGACAGUGUCAGGUGGGCAGUUUGACUGGGGCGGUCGCCUCCUAAAGUGUAACGGAGGCGCCCAAAGGUUCCCUCAGAAUGGUUGGAAAUCAUUCGUAGAGUGCAAAGGCAUAAGGGAGCUUGACUGCGAGACCUACAAGUCGAGCAGGGACGAAAGUCGGGCUUAGUGAUCCGGUGGUUCCGCAUGGAAGGGCCAUCGCUCAACGGAUAAAAGCUACCCCGGGGAUAACAGGCUUAUCUCCCCCAAGAGUCCACAUCGACGGGGAGGUUUGGCACCUCGAUGUCGGCUCAUCGCAUCCUGGGGCUGUAGUCGGUCCCAAGGGUUGGGCUGUUCGCCCAUUAAAGCGGUACGCGAGCUGGGUUCAGAACGUCGUGAGACAGUUCGGUCCCUAUCCGUCGUGGGCGUAGGAAAUUUGAGAGGAGCUGUCCUUAGUACGAGAGGACCGGGAUGGACGCACCGCUGGUGUACCAGUUGUUCUGCCAAGGGCAUAGCUGGGUAGCUAUGUGCGGAAGGGAUAAGUGCUGAAAGCAUCUAAGCAUGAAGCCCCCCUCAAGAUGAGAUUUCCCAUAGCGUAAGCUAGUAAGAUCCCUGAAAGAUGAUCAGGUUGAUAGGUUCGAGGUGGAAGCAUGGUGACAUGUGGAGCUGACGAAUACUAAUAGAUCGAGGACUUAACCAU
rnacentral:rRNA from 1 species